rnacentral:rRNA from 1 species
AACGAACGCUGGCGGCAUGCCUAACACAUGCAAGUCGAACGAGACCUUCGGGUCUAGUGGCGCACGGGUGCGUAACGCGUGGGAACCUGCCCUUAGGUUCGGAAUAACUCCCCGAAAGGGGUGCUAAUACCGGAUAAUGUCUUCGGACCAAAGAUUUAUCGCCUUUGGAUGGGCCCGCGUUGGAUUAGCUAGUUGAUAGGGUAAAAGCCUACCAAGGCGACGAUCCAUAGCUGGUCUGAGAGGAUGAUCAGCCACACUGGGACUGAGACACGGCCCAGACUCCUACGGGAAGCAGCAGUGGGGAAUAUUGGACAAUGGGCGAAAGCCUGAUCCAGCAAUGCCGCGUGAGUGAUGAAGGCCUUAGGGUUGUAAAGCUCUUUUACCCGGGAUGAUAAUGACAGUACCGGGAGAAUAAGCUCCGGCUAACUCCGUG